CUUUUAUGUGUGCUGGUGACUCACCCAGAGCAGAGGCACAGUGAAGGUCACACCAGAGACAAAGUUUGAAAUGUAGGCUAAGUCAUACAAAAAGAACUGCAAAAUCCAAAGACCACAGGACUUUUUCCACUGAGAGGAUAAUGAAUGUGCAGAAGUACACCUAAAGAAUGGUGCAGAACCAAGCAGUGUGGUAUAAUUGAAUAUACAUGGGUACUAGCCUGCAAGAAUAGAAGUGAGCACAAAUUCUCCCCUCCCGACAGAAGAAGCCCACAGAAUGAGAGAGAGAUAGAUCUGAUAAAAUUCCAGCCCUACUGAAAUGGAUGGAAAUUUUGCCACUGACUGUUCAACAAAGGACUCUUCCCUGCAGACCUAUUAGGAAUUUUUAAUUGGAUAUAAUGUAUGCUGAGAAAGAUGAUAAUACAAUGGGGAAAAUUUGGUGCUCAGAUAAAUGAGCCACUGAUACUGCAUCUGUUAAAAUGUGUUUCACCAAGGGGCCACUUCUCCAGUAAGGACAGAGAAACGUGCAAAGGAAAGGAGCAAAAAGAGCCCAUUUCCUGCCCAUUUGGCUGUGUUUUACGCCAAGAAGGUCAUAGCGCUGCAUGAGUGCUUGUGGCUCUUCUUCAAAGGCUCUGCUUCAAUUCAGACAAUCAAAGCUGAUGAGGAGUCACCCUAAAGUGCACUUCUGUUUUCUAACAUAGCCUCUCUGGAAAAUAUGAUGUUACAAUAUUGGCCAGUCAGUUGGUCUGUCAUUUUUGGUUGGCCUCUUCUGUUGUAACACGAUGACACUGGGUUUUUUUCUUUGUUUUUCAUCAGCUGUCGAGAGAUACAAAUGCUGACUUCCUCCUAAACCUUUGGACCCCACUGGAAUUUCCCAGUGCUGGGUCUACUUACUCCACAUUUGAAGCUUCCUUCCUGGCAGUUUUCAGCACCCUCUGUAGAGUUGCACCUCUGGGUUAUUGGUAUGCAUUUCUCUUGCAGCCUUCACUGGAUAUCUGACUUCCUCACAAACAUAAACAGUCAUUUCACAGUAACCCUGUUAGAAAAGCAAGAAUUAUCACUUUUACUUAGAUUACAAAUGCAGGGGCUUUCACAGUGACCACAAACAUGCAGCUGUUGAAGACAGAUUGACUUUCCUGUAGGGAACACACUGUGUUCUUGUUCAGAGGAGAUGAAUCUUUCCUGAGCGGGUGGAAGUUCCUCCACUGACAUGGGGUGCAGCAGAAGCUACUGGGGUCCAUCCCUGAAGAAGUGCAUUCAACUAAUUCAGGUGACUGCUGAAAAAGGAUAUUCCCUUGUUUUGGCUGCCUUCCUUUGUGAGAUGCAGAACUGAAAGAACACCAUCAAAGUUUAAAGUACAGAUUUGCCUCACUGAUGUGCCCUGAAGAAUGUACCCUGUAAGAUGGGACAAGCAGAAGAAAUGCAGAAACAGGAGAAAGCUGUACUGGUUUCUCUUGACAUAAUGCUGCUGCACUGAUGAUGUAUUUCUGUUGGUUGCCAGUGUGUGGAGGUUGAAGGAUGUUUUUGCAUCUUAGGUAGUUAAACUCUCCUUUCUAUGCUAUCAUUUUUUCCCUUCACUACUCUACAACAUAAUAAAUCCCAUUGAUUACUAAAUGUUUAAAAGGAUUUCAUCAAGGAGUGGCUCCGUUCUCUAAACGCCUUUAUUUAUUCAAGUCUAAUUCAUAUGCUA